UAGUCCACGCCGUAAACGAUGCUUACUCGCUGUUGGCGAUAUUACUGUCAGCGGCCAAGCGAAAGCGUUAAGUAAGCCACCUGGGGAGUACGCCCGCAAGGGUGAAACUCAAAGGAAUUGACGGGGGCCCGCACAAGCGGAGGAGCAUGUGGUUUAAUUCGAUGAUACGCGAGGAACCUUACCUGAACUUAAAUGGCGAACGACAGUCGUGGAAACAUGACUUUCUUUUAGACGUUCGUCAAGGUGCUGCAUGGUUGUCGUCAGCUCGUGCCGUGAGGUGUUGGGUUAAGUCCCGCAACGAGCGCAACCCCUAUUGUAUGUUACCAUCAUUAAGUUGGGGACUCAUGCAAGACUGCCGGUGACAAACCGGAGGAAGGUGGGGAUGACGUCAAGUCAUCAUGCCCCUUAUGGGCUGGGCUACACACGUGCUACAAUGGGCGAUACAGAGAGUCGCAAUACCGCGAGGUGGAGCUAAUCUCAGAAAGUCGUUCUUAGUUUCGGAUCGCAGU
rnacentral:rRNA from 1 species